rnacentral:rRNA from 1 species
GACGAACGCUGGCGGCGUGCUUAACACAUGCAAGUCGAACGGUGACGAGGAGCUUGCUCCUCCGAUCAGUGGCGAACGGGUGAGUAACACGUGAGUAACCUGCCCCAGACUCUGGGAUAACAGUUGGAAACAGCUGCUAAUACCGGAUACGAGACGGAGAGGCAUCUCUACCGUCUGGAAAGUUUUCGGUCUGGGAUGGACUCGCGGCCUAUCAGCUUGUUGGUGAGGUAAUGGCUCACCAAGGCGACGACGGGUAGCCGGCCUGAGAGGGUGACCGGCCACACUGGAACUGAGACACGGUCCAGACUCCUACGGGGGGCAGCAGUGGGGAAUCUUCCACAAUGGGCGAAAGCCUGAUGGAGCGACGCCGCGUGAGCGAAGAAGGCCUUCGGGUUGUAAAGCUCUGUCUGGAGGGACGAAGGAAGUGACGGUACCUCCGGAGGAAGCCACGGCUAACUACGUG